AGCUCCGGCCCUAGGCCGCCCUCCAGGGCCACCACGUUCCCUCCUGGGCCGUCCCUAGAGACAAUGGCUCACUCCGUCGCCCUACUGCUCGACCACAGGGUACUCCUCUUUCCCUGGGCAGCGGAUGUCAUAGCUGCCCGUUUCACAGAAGUGUAGACCGAGGCCGAGGAGCUCAAAAGCGAGGGACCAUGCGGAGAAACCCGGCUGCUAAUAGGGUCGAGGAGGGUCCAGCUAAGUGGGCCUGCAGAGGACAACUAACACAGCUAGCACCCAGAUCUUCUUUUUAGUACCAUUCUUCAACAAAAGGAACCAGUCCUCCUUGGGGAAAUAGCUGAUUCUAAUCCUGGGACAGGAAAUAUUUAACAAGAACCUGGAGCAUCCUGCUGUGUCAGAAGGCAAAAUGAAGAAGCCAGUGCUAAGGUGAAGGUGAGACUGUAUUGAACUACAGAGGAGCAGAAGGUCA